GCCCGGUUACCUCUGUCGAUAAAGCAUCAUACUCUUAAUGUCAGGGGCGUGGGGUCAAGCCCCACAUUGGGCG